AGUUACUGCUCGGCGUAAACGCGCGAGCGAGCGAGCGCGCACACACACACACACACACACACACACAAAUAUAUAUACACAGGACGAAAUGAUCGUGCGCGGGGCGGAAGGAAGCGGGCGCUUGUCCGCUAUUUACGAGCCUCCGCGGUCUUGACGGAUCGAAAGAGCUCGGCGUCUGGGUUUCUGGCAUGCUCGGGUCAGCGAGCGGAGCUGAAACAUGGCGCCGUCGGGCUCGCGCAGCGCCAAGCGGAAGUGCCAGCGAGUAGUGCACUGGAUCCCCGUGCUGUUCGUGUGCGCGCUCGUGGCGUGGUCCUACUACGCGUAUGUGCUACAGCUCUGCGUAGAAACAAUUGAAAACAUGGGGGAGAAAGUAGUUUACCUUGUGGCGUAUCAUGUCUCCUUCAUCAUGUUUGUAUGGUCAUACUGGCAAACCAUCUUUACUAAACCAAUGAACCCACUUAAAGAGUUCCACUUGUCACCCACUGACAAAGAACUGCUGAAGCAGGAGGAUCGCGCUGAAUCUCAACAAGAGAUUCUGAAAAGAAUAGCCAAGGAUUUACCCAUAUCCACUCGCACAACGUCUGGAGGUAUUCGCUACUGUGACCGGUGCCAUCUAGUAAAACCUGACAGAUGUCACCACUGUUCAGUCUGUGAUAAGUGCAUCUUGAAGAUGGAUCACCACUGUCCAUGGGUGAAUAACUGCGUGGGCUUUUCCAACUACAAGUUUUUUACACUUUUUCUCGCAUACUCUCUGCUGUACUGCCUGUUUAUCACUGCAACAGACCUGCAGUACUUUAUCCAGUUUUGGACUGUGGACGGUAAAACACACGAGCGACUUAAAGCAUACUGGAAUGGCCUUCCAGACACACAAGCCAAAUUCCAUAUUAUGUUCCUGUUCUUUGCCGCCUCCAUGUUCUCAGUCAGUUUGGCUUCACUGUUUGCUUAUCACUGCUGGCUAAUUUGCAAAAAUAGAUCCACCCUCGAGGUCUUUCGUGCACCUGCCUUCCUUCAUGGAGCUGACAAAAAUGGCUUCAGUCUUGGAAUAAGCAAGAAUGUCCGCCAAGUCUUUGGGGAUGAAAAGAAAUAUUGGCUUCUGCCUGUUUUUUCCAGCCAAGGUGAUGGAUGUGCAUUUCCCACAUGCCUUGUGAACCCUGACCCAGAGCAGCCUGCCUCACCAUCUGGACAUGCUGUCAAAAGUGAUGGAGAAUCUCAUCAGUUUCCUGCUCAACCUCUGCGAGAAUCUAAAAGCCGACUGCUGAGCAAUGGACAGACCUGUCCUGAGAGUGAUGAAACAGAACAACAAGACAGAGAAGUGUUUUUCAUGUCAAUUUGAACAGGAACAAGCAACCCUGCCAUGAGUAUAGAGAAAGAAACAUAAUUUUGUCACAGUGCUGACUCGUUUAAGGAAACAAGAUCCCUGUGUGGUCCUGUGCGUUUUCUGUGGAAGAAUGAAGAAACAUCCUUGUGGUGCAGGGAGGCUUCGGUUGCAGGAAACGGCCACUAUCCAGCGGAUUUCUAUGUAAUUGCUUAAGCAGUUACUGUUCAGUGUUACUAGAGAAUCUACAUUCAUUAGGACUGUUAAGGACUGUGUAGACUUUGUGUAUACGGUGCCUAAAAAUGCACAGACAAAGGUGGAUGACAUCAAAUAAUCAAGUGAUUAUUUACAGCUAAUGCCUUGUUUAUACCUUAUGAACCCGUUUGAGGCAAACUUUUAAUAUGAAUUUGGGAGGCAAAUUUGUGUGGUUUUGUGCAUGUUGUGUGAUACAUAUGAAUGUUAUGUUACAAAUCUGAAAGUUAUGAAAGAAAACUGAAAGAAAAAAAAACACUAUGUAGCAAAGUUUCAUCAAAUGGCACUCUGUUUUUAUGCUUUAAUUUUUUGCAUGUUUAAGCAGAUUCUUUUUGUUAUGAUGUACACAUUAUAAUGAUAACUUGUUUCAUUAGCCCGGUGCUGUAUGUCACUCAGUAUAUACGAUUUUCUGUCCUAAUUCUUUGUAGAGAAAAUUUUGCCGGGUUGAAAUAUGGAUAUAAGCAUUAAAAUGUAUUGUGAUAAGUCACAUAUUGUAAGAUGAACACACUCUAUAUGUUUGCAAGGCCAGAAGGACAGUUUUAAAAUCCAAACUACUGAAGGAAAUGAAGUAGCCACGAGAAACAAUGAAAUGCUUUUGCCCUCAUAAGCACAGAAUGAGAAAGAUUUUAGUUCUUUUGCACUUCACAUCUGUUAAUAUGUGAAUAUGUUUAAAGCUGCUUGCACUUUUUUGGUAAUUUAAUUAAAAGUGCAAUGCAUUAAGAAAAUGUUUAGAAAAUAUACUGUUGUGUUGGUCUGUUGUGAUUUACUGAAAAUGAUUAAAAAAAAAUGGUUUUAUUUAGAAAAAACACCAAAAAUAAGGCCUGAUGCAUUAAGAUAUAAACAUUUAUAAGAUUGUAUAUACAAAACCGUAUGUAGUUAUGCGUACACCAUUUUAUAAUCUGUUUAUAGGAUUACCACAUCAUACAAAAAAAAAAUCCUUUGUGAGGUUUUGGACAAAUGGCACCAAAACUUAUUCAAAAGAACAGUGUGUCUAUUGUGAAAGAGGUCCACCAUGCACGAAAAAUUACUCUUUUUUGUGUCUAUAGAUCACAUUCUGCACAUAUAGUGCCCUCCAAAAUUAUUGGCACCUUUUAUUUAAAUUUUUUUGUCUGACACAAGGAACACUGUGUUCGUUCUCAGAAAUAUACAUAGCAAAAACGUAUUGAUACCUCUAUUGAAUAUGUGUAUGUAUGCAAAUAAUAUUGUUAUAGAUGGAAAAUGUUUCAAAAUAUAUGAGGUUGCAUGCUGGUCAAAUUUAUUUUUUUUAACAGACCGAGGAUCAUUGCAGUGUAUAACCAUAUUCUAGAUUUAAAAAAAUACAUAAGCAAUUUUUAAAAAGGCUGGAAAAAUUGAAGCCCAUUAACAGAGUACCUGUCCACACUGAGGAGGAGGAAGUUUUCCAAUUUCACAAUUUUGUUGUUUUUGUGAUGUCACGUACCCUGUGUUAAAUGUCACUUUCAUAACAACAAGCUAUUUGGAAUCACUGGAUUAAAGCUUUUAUUCCCCUAAGAGCAUCUCAAACAAUGUAUCUCAAAUUCUUUAACAUUAGAACCCAUCAUAUGCUGAGGGCAGAUGGAGGCCUUCCUCUGUGUAGUUAAUGUUAAUGCCGCUGUUGCUCAUGAUGCUGCUGACCAGUAUGGGACCCAAAGAGUCAUAUUUGUUAGACACUCAGCUUGAAGGUCAGGUUUCACAAUAAAAAUAAUUUUCAGCUCCAAUUAUGAAUGCCUUUGCCUGGAGCUUCAGACUUGGCUUGAGAGCUUUCAGCAAAAUGACUAGCCAUUCAGAUUACAUCAUAUUUCCAAAUCGAUAAAACUACAUAAUGAAACACAUUAGUGUUUUAUACACUUUGACCACCAUGCUUGAACAGUAGUCAGAAAUUGAACAGGAACACUUAUGUGCACAAUAUUAAGAAGCAGCUUCUUCAAGGAGGAGAAAAUGUAGCAGGAAGAGACUCUGGCUGGGGCAGGUGUAAAAAAGAAUUCACUUGAAGCAAGUGUUAUUGCAUGAUUAUUUAACUGUCCAAAUAUUAAAACUUUUUCAUGAAGAUUGGCAAUAAUAAUAGAGAGCAUUGUAAAAAAAAAUUAAGGCUAAUUGUACAUGCUAAGACUAAAUGUGCUGCAGUAUCUCCUGGUUGUUAUUGAAAACAUUUCCUAAGAUGCACUGAUCAUGUUCAACUUCAGCUACAUGAUUUAAAUGUUCAUGGACUUUAUAGUUAAUUGACAAUUUGCAUAUAAAAUACAUGGAUUAAUGUGUUCAGCUAAAACAAUAAAGCCAUUGUUUUAUGUACUA